CAGCCGCCACGGUAAUACGAAGGGGGCUAGCGUUGCUCGGAAUGACUGGGCGUAAAGGGCGCGUAGGCGGCGAUCAAAGUCAGGCGUGAAAUUCCUGGGCUCAACCUGGGGGCUGCGCUUGAUACUUGGUUGCUUGGGUGGGGAAGAGGGUCGUGGAAUUCCCAGUGUAGAGGUGAAAUUCGUAGAUAUUGGGAAGAACACCGGUGGCGAAGGCGGCGACCUGGUCCUUGACUGACGCUGAGGCGCGAAAGCGUGGGGAGCAAACAGGAUUAGAUACCCCCGUAGUCCCUGUCUCUUAUAC
rnacentral:rRNA from 1 species